CUGCCAAUGAAGUGUCUGUUUCAGAGAGGUAGUCGUGUUAGACUGUAUCACCAAAAACAACGAGGAGUCCUUGUGGCACCUUAGAGACUAACAAGUUUAUUUGGGGAUC